rnacentral:rRNA from 1 species
GACGAACGCUGGCGGCGUGCUUAACACAUGCAAGUCGAACGGAAAGGCCUGCUUUCCCUUGUGGAUUGCGGGUACUCGAGUGGCGAACGGGUGAGUAACACGUGAGUGAUCUGCCCCCAACUUGGGUAUAAGCCUGGGAAACUGGGUCUAAUUCCCGAUAGGACUGCAGGGUGGUGCCUGUGGUGGAAAACGAUUUUCUAGUGGUUGGGGAUGAGCUCGCGGCCUAUCAGCUUGUUGGUGGGGUAAUGGCCUACCAAGGCGGCGACGGGUAGCCGGCCUGAGGGGGGGGACGGGCCACUUGGGGCUGGGGUUCCGGCCCGGACUCCUACGGGAGCCGGCAGUGGGGAAAUUUGCCCAUGGGGCGAAGGCUUGUUGCGGGACGGCGCGUGGGGGAAGGACGGCCUCGGGGUGUAAACCUCCUUCGGCCGGGGGGAAGGCCACCGGUUGGAAGGGUGGUGACGGUAGUGGUAGAAGAAGCACCGGCUAACUACGUG